rnacentral:tRNA from 1 species
UGGCUCAGCGGUUAAGAGCUCUGGCUGCUCUUCCAGAGGACCUGGGUUCAAUUCCCAG